rnacentral:tRNA from 1 species
AAGACACUAGUAAAACAAAUUACAUUGCCUUGUCAAGACAAAAUUGUGGGUUAAAUCCCCACGUGUCUUA